ACCACGAAGACCACGAUCCUGAGCCUCGAUUUCUUGUUUGAACUUCUUGCGAUUAAAUACUGUUAAACUUAAUCCACGCGCAUCCGGAGCCUGAUGUCCAUCAUCUGCCAAGAGCCCAGUUUCAGUUCCUCUCAUCGGUCACACAUGAACAUUGAGGGUGGCAUCCGCUGGUUCGCUGCACUCAGACAUCCGAAGACGUAACAGACCGACUCAUAACCGCGUCCCGCUGCUGUGGAACGACACAAAUAGAGGCACGCAUGUGUAUUCGUGAGAGCGGUCAGCCGUGACGUCACGCUCACAACAAGAACCAGCUGGCCGUUUGAAGUCCCGCAGCGAGCCGAGCGGAGGGACUGAUCCAUCGGAGAGAGAGUUUGGGAGGGGUAUUUAUUUUAAAAGUAGUCAAUAUUUAGUUUUACGGAGAACCGACCUCACUUUUCCUUUUCUCCUCCGCGACAACAGAAGCAACAACGAGCUGCUGUGCAUCCCACUGUGACCCACUGAUUGGCUCAGGGAGGAACAUCUUUUCAUUGGCCAAUCCAGGAGCCGAGUCCUGAUAAAUAUCCGGGUCAAGGGAGGUCACUUCCUGCUUUAUUGGGUGCAGACAGCGGUCAGAUUUUUGAGCUGAUGCCACUGUGUAUCAGAUGAAGAUGGCGAGCUGCCCACGAGUUGGAUGAACACGAUGACCGCCCUCUAAGACAACGUUUAUUUUUUUAUUAUAAAUAUGUACUUGCUUUAUAUUUAUGUUCAGUAAAAACCCUUAAAAUUCAA